rnacentral:rRNA from 1 species
UACGUAGGGUGCGAGCGUUGUCCGGAAUUACUGGGCGUAAAGAGCUCGUAGGUGGUUUGUCGCGUUGUUCGUGAAAACUCACAGCUUAACUGUGGGCGUGCGGGCGAUACGGGCAGACUGGAGUACUGCAGGGGAGACUGGAAUUCCUGGUGUAGCGGUGAAAUGCGCAGAUAUCAGGAGGAACACCGGUGGCGAAGGCGGUUCUCUGGGCAUGACCUGACGCUGAGGAGCGAAAGUGUGGGGAGCGAACAGG